GCAUCGGAGGGUCUUGUCGGAGCACCCCCAACUCUGAUUUAGACUUUCCUUGCAGGUCUCGGUGGCAGCCGUGAUCCCCUCGACUCCAGCUUCUCCGACAUCGAUGGAAUUCUGCACCAACAUAAUUGGCACUAGAGGAAGGGCUGUGUCUUCGCAGGACCUUUGUUCUUAAAGGAGUACUCAACGGGACUGUCUCCAAUCAUCUUCUUCGACAUCUUCUUCUUCUUCUCCGGCC
rnacentral:lncRNA from 1 species